rnacentral:rRNA from 1 species
UACGGAGGGGGUUAGCGUUGUUCGGAAUGACUGGGCGUAAAGCGCGCGUAGGCGGUUCAGCAAGUUGGGGGUGAAAUCCCGGGGCUCAACCCCGGAAUGGCCUUCAAAACUCCUGGUCUUGAGUUCGAGAGAGGUGAGUGGAAUUCCGAGUGUAGAGGUGAAAUUCGUAGAUAUUGGGAAGAACACCGAUGGCGAAGGCAGCCAUCUGGACCGACACUGACGCUGAGGCGCGAAAGCGUGGGGAGCAAACAGG